rnacentral:rRNA from 1 species
ACGUCUCUAGAAGACAUCUGAAGGAGAUUAAAGAUUUAUCGGUGAUGGAUGGGGAUGCGUCUGAUUAGCUUGUUGGCGGGGUAACGGCCCACCAAGGCGACGAUCAGUAGGGGUUCUGAGAGGAAGGUCCCCCACAUUGGAACUGAGACACGGUCCAAACUCCUACGGGAGGCAGCAGUGAGGAAUAUUGGUCAAUGGGCGAGAGCCUGAACCAGCCAAGUAGCGUGCAGGAUGACGGCCCUAUGGGUUGUAAACUGCUUUUAUAAGGGAAUAAAGUGAGCCACGUGUGGCUUUUUGCAUGUACCUUAUGAAUAAGGACCGGCUAAUUCCGUGCCAGCAGCCGCGGUAAUACGGAAGGUCCGGGCGUUAUCCGGAUUUAUUGGGUUUAAAGGGAGCGUAGGCCGGAGAUUAAGCGUGUUGUGAAAUGUAGAUGCUCAACAUCUGAACUGCAGCGCGAACUGGUUUCCUUGAGUACGCACAAAGUGGGCGGAAUUCGGGGUGUAGCGGUGAAAUGCUUAGAUAUCACGAAGAACUCCGAUUGCGAAGGCAGCUCAUUGGAGCGCAACUGACGCUGAAGCUCGAAA